GAUGAACGCUAGCGGGAGGCCUAACACAUGCAAGCCGAGCGGUAGAGUUUCUUCGGAAACUUGAGAGCGGCGCACGGGUGCGUAACACGUGUGCAACCUACCUUUAUCUGGGGAUAGCCUUUCGAAAGGAAGAUUAAUACCCCAUAAUAUAAUGAUUGGCAUCAAUUAUUAUUGAAAACUCCGGUGGAUAGAGAUGGGCACGCGCAAGAUUAGAUAGUUGGUGAGGUAACGGCUCACCAAGUCAAUGAUCUUUAGGGGUCCUGAGAGGGAGAUCCCCCACACUGGUACUGAGACACGGACCAGACUCCUACGGGAGGCAGCAGUGAGGAAUAUUGGACAAUGGGUGAGAGCCUGAUCCAGCCAUCCCGCGUGAAGGAUGACGGUCCUAUGGAUUGUAAACCUCUUUUGUACAGGGAUAAACCUACCCUCGUGAGGGUAGCUGAAGGUACUGUACGAAUAAGCACCGGCUAACUCCGUG
rnacentral:rRNA from 1 species